rnacentral:rRNA from 1 species
AGCUCCAAUAGCGUAUAUUAAAGUUGUUGCAGUUAAAAAGCUCGUAGUCGGAUUUUGGAUUGUGUGUAAUGGUCUGCCGUGAGGUAUGCACUGUUGCGCGCUUUCUUCUUCUCAAAGACUGUGUGUGCUCUUAAUUGAGUGUGCUCAGGGUUUGGGACUUUUACUGUGAGAAAAUUAGAGUGUUUAAAGCAGGCGUUUGCUUGAAUAUUGCAGCAUGGAAUAAUGGAAUAGGAUCACGAUCUUAUUUUGUUGGUUUCUAGGAUCGAGAUAAUGAUUAAUAGGGAUAGUUGGGGACAUUAAUAUUUAAUUGUCAGAGGUGAAAUUCUUGGAUUUAUGAAAGAUUAACUUCUGCGAAAGCAUUUGUCAAGGAUGUUUUCGUUG